CACACACACCAGGAAGCCUCGCACCCCCAGGGUUUAUCCAGGAGGAGCGUCGUAAGUCUGAUGCCAGCAGCUGCCUGCCGACACUCCGGGUCUCACUCAUCAACGACAUGAGGCAUGUGCAGAACAUGGUUGAGAUCAAGACGGAGGUGGGCCGGGCGCGGGCCUGGGUUCGACUCAGCAUGGAGAAGAAGCUUCUGUCUACACACCUGAAGACACUUCUACAGGACCACGAGCUGACCAGGAAGCUGUAUAAGCGUUAUGCGUUCCUGCGGUG